rnacentral:lncRNA from 1 species
UAUUACGCAGUAAGUACUUGUAGUGCAGUAUACUAACUCCUUAUUGUUCUGCUGUAGUAUCCAUUACCUAUAUUAUAAUAUAUUUGAGCGUACAACGCAAGUACGACAACGUAAGUAUAUUAUUUUAAUUAUAGUUGGUGAAUAUUAAAAUGUACAAUUGCUUUUCUUUACUUCUUCUUCUAAUCUUCAAUCUUUCGAUUUCAUCAUGCUUAUCUAUCAAAACUCAAAUCAAUUCACUCAUUAUAAUUGUUCAUUCCUAUGGUCUCUAACGAAUUUUUACGCGGUUUAUAAUAUUGUAUUCCAUCUUUUCCUAUUCUAAUUUUACCAUCUACAUAACCAGUGUUGUUUUCGUAAAAAAACUAUGGGGUAUACAUUCGUUCAGGAACUUAAUUAACGAAUUUUGUGAUUUUAUAAGCAUAAAAUUAAUCAGAGUUAACCAUUAAAAAACCUGCUCACUUCAUUAGUGAAAAACCAUUUUGAAAGGCUCUUACAAAAAUUCAAAAUUCGCAAAAUUUAUAAAAAUAAUUUUUUUGAUACUCAAUUGCGUACAUCUUAGAUUUUGAGCGAAGCGAGGAAUGCAUUGGUUUUACUGUUUUUUUUUUUUUUUUAUUAUUAUUAUUUUUUUUUUUAUACUGCGUACAAAAAUUCUACCAGAAGUCUUGCUCUGAUAUAUACGUGCGGCACCGUUUCUGAAAGAAAAUAAUAUUGUCUACAUGGUACUUUAGGGAGCUUGUUUUUUGAUUUCCCAAGCGGUUUUCAUAGCAUUUGGAAAAAACCAGGAUUACACGUUAAGAAAAACAGGAAAUUUAUGAAAACAAUAUUUUUAUUAUUUCCAAAUUUGUUAUUUCUUGACAACAACCAAAGUUUACUCAAAGUUCGUCUCAAAUUAAUAAUAAUUAUAAUUUGUAUUUUUACUAUUAGAUAUAGUAGUUAAGGUGUUAUAAAUAAAUAACUGCAAUCUAAUUAAAACACGUUUAGAUUACCGGCUAAUAAUCGAUUUAUUUAUCAUAGUGCAGGGGGAGGAUUUAGGGGUUUAAACGCCCCCCCCCCGAAAUAUCUGGAACAUGUAAUUAUCAGAACGUAAUGUAGACGAGUGUAAUAAAUUAAAUUUCAUUCAAUAAUUUAGUGUUUUCUUGUUUCAAUAUGUAGUUACCAAUGCCUCUGAAAACGGUAAACCUACAUAUAAUUUUAUAUUAAAAUAUUUAGUACAAAUUGUUAAUCGAUAUUUUUCUCUAUUUUCUGUUUAUAAUUAUAUAAAUAAAGUAAAGAAAUAUAUAAAUGAAAAAUGUAUACAUAAAAAUUAAUUAAAUAAAUGAAUAAAUGCGUCGCCUGGAGUAGAGUAUUAUGAUAAGUGUAUUAUUUAUAAUUAUAUGACGAAGAAAUCGUUGUCAUGUAAAAUUCUGAUCACUUUGUAUAGGUAAUGUAUAAUAUACGCCUGCGAUGCAAUUUUCAACGCAAAAACAACGUCGGAUGUAAUAUGAAGAUUUGUUUGAAGAAAACCCAUGUUAAUAUAGGAAUCUAACUUCUAUAUUAGCGUAUAAUGCUUACUAAUUUGCACCUAUUUAAACUAUAUGUGAUGUCUUUCGGAAAGAAGUCAGCCCCUUUCUAUUUUUUAGAUAAGCGACUUGUUUCAUAUAAAUGGAUUUUUUUUUCGCAGAUGAACGCGUUCAUCCGGUUGACGGCGGUCGCUUUUGCGGUUUUGGUCUGUUUCGCUUGUGCCUCUGCAUCACCGGAACGUAAUCCGUCGAGAGCUGCAACACCACAACGUCGCACCGGAAGCGGCUACGGUAGCAGUUACGUCGAUUUCGGCGCACACACAGGCCCGUUGGGCUCGUACGGGUGGUACGCCGACUUUCCGGCCAUCAAAAAUAACAACAAUUGAAGAGCGUCUUCCCCGUUGCGUAUAAGCGCUAAUAUUGUUGGCACAGUAGAUUAAGGGCUCAAUGCCUUCAAAUAUCUACUCUAGUAUGGUUAGGUCGGGUUAAUCGUAUUAUUUUUUUUUUAAAUUUUUAAAAUGUUAUAUUGCAGCUUUUGCCAAUUAUACGUAAUAAUAAUAAUAUACUCUACCUAUGUAUGCGAUUAACUCUAUUGGUUUUAGACAAUAACAGUGUCAUAUAUAAAUACAUGUAUUCCAUGUUGAGCUGAUGCACGAAGGAAGCGUGG